GCUUGGAUAGCUCAGUUGGUCACAGUGUGGUGCUGAUAACGCCAAGGUUGCAGGUUCGAUCCCCAAUAAGGGACA